rnacentral:rRNA from 1 species
AUGUAUGGUAGGAGAGCGUUCUGUAUGGGGAGAAGUCGUAGCGAAAGCGGCGGUGGACUAUACAGAAGUGAGAAUGCCGGAAUAAGUAGCGAGAAUUAAGUGUGAAUCUUAAUGGCCGAAAGUCUAAGGUUUUUGGAGGAAGGUUCGUCCGCUCCAAGUAAGUCGGGAGCUAAGGUCAGGCCGAAAGGCGUAGCCGAUGCACAUACGGUUGAUAUUCCGUAACCAUCUGUAAUUUAAGCAAAGGGACACUUCAAAAGGGUGUGACCCGGGCGUUGGUUGACCCGGGCGUAAGGGACCGAAAUUAGAGUAGGGAAGCACACUUGGCUGAAGGCGAGAAAAGCUUUGCGUAUAGAAACAGAUGCCCGUACCGCAAACCGACACAGGUGGACAGGAAGAGAAUUCUAAGGCCAGCGGGAGAAGGGUAGUUAAGGAACUCGGCAAAUUGACUCCGUAACUUCGGAAUAAGGAGUGCUCGAAAGAGCCGCAGAGAAUAGGCCCAGGCGACUGUUUAGCAAAAACACAGGUCUCUGCCAAAUCGAAAGAUGAAGUAUAGGGGCUGACACCUGCCCGGUGCCGGAAGGUUAAGAGGAGGAGUGAGAGCUCCGAAUUGAAGCCCCGGUAAACGGCGGCCGUAACCAUAACGGUCCUAAGGUAGCGAAAUUCCUUGUCGGGUAAGUUCCGACCCGCACGAAUGGUGUAACGAUCUGGGCACUGUCUCAACUACCCACCCGGCGAAAUUGUAGUGCCGGUGAAGAUGCCGGUUACCUGCGGCAAGACGGAAAGACCCCAUGGAGCUUUACUGUAGCCUGAUAUUGGGUUUCGGAAAUCUAUGUACAGGAUAGGCGGGAGACUGGGAAACAUGAGCGUCAGCUUGUGUGGAGUCGAUGUUGGGAUACCGCCCUUAGGUUUCUGGAAUUCUAACCUGCGGCCGUGAAUCCGGUCGGGGGACAUUGUCAGGUGGGCAGUUUGACUGGGGCGGUCGCCUCCGAAAAGGUAACGGAGGCGCUCAAAGGUUAGCUCAGCACGGACGGAAACCGUGCCUCUGAGUGUAAACGCAAAAGCUAGCCUAACUGCGAGGGUGACGGCCCGAGCAGUAACGAAAGUUGGAGUUAGUGAUCCGGCGGUAUGUGAAUGGAAAUGCCGUCGCUCAACGGAUAAAAGCUACCCUGGGGAUAACAGGCUGAUCUCCCCCAAGAGUCCACAUCGACGGGGAGGUUUGGCACCUCGAUGUCGGCUCAUCACAUCCUGGGGCUGUAUUCGGUCCCAAGGGUUCGGCUGUUCGCCGAUUAAAGUGGUACGCGAGCUGGGUUCAGAACGUCGCGAGACAGUUCGGUCCCUAUCUGUCGUGGGCGCAGGAUAUUUGAGGAGCUCUGUCCUUAGUACGAGAGGACCGGGAUGGACGUACCUCUGGUGCACCAGUUGUCAUGCCAAUGGCACGGCUGGGCAGCUAUGUACGGAACGGAUAAACGCUGAAAGCAUCUAAGCGUGAAGCCGACUCCAAGAUUAGAUAUCCCAUCGUAUAACGAGUAAGACUCCUUGAAGACUACGAGGUUGAUAGGCUGCGUGUGUAAGUGCCGUGAGGCAUUCAGCUUGGCAGUACUAAUAGGUCGAGGGCUUGACCU